GCUUUAAUGGGUUUUCCAUGUGUAGAUCUUCCACCACACUAUAUGGACCCUUUCAAGUUGUAUGACCCAGUAGUAGGGUAUUGUGAAUAGGAUUGAUACAAAAGAGUGGAACACUGAGUUGGACAUUCACUUAUAGUGUCAGAUGGUUACCUGAACUGCUCCUUGGACACACUGCAGACUGGCAAGCCUCAAUAUAAAGCGGCAUUGCAGAAGGAACUUGAUUUACCAGUUCGUGAUGAUGUCCCAUUGAUCAGUUUCAUUAGGAGGCUUGACCCACAAAAGGGUCUUGAUCUGAUUGUUGAGGCAAUGCCUUGGAUGAUCGAUGAAAGUGAAACGAGUAGGUGAAUGUCAAAAGAAAAAAGAUUUAUAAUUAUUCUGCCUUUCUUCA